rnacentral:rRNA from 1 species
AUACGGAGGAUCCAAGCGUUAUUCGGAUUUAUUGGGUUUAAAGGGUGCGCAGGCGGCCUUAUAAGUCAGUGGUGUAAUCUCCCGGCUCAACCGGGAAACUGCCAUUGAUACUGUAAGGCUAGAAUACAGACGAGGUAGGCGGAAUGUAGCAUGUAGCGGUGAAAUGCUUAGAUAUGCUAAAGAACACCGAUCGCGAAGGCAGCUUACCAGACUGUAAUUGACGCUAAGGCACGAAAGCGUGGGGAGCGAACAGGAUUAGAAACCCCGGUAGUCC